GCAGGCGAGAAUUUUUCACAAUGGGGGAAACCCUGAUGGAGCGACGCCGCGUGGAGGAUGAAGGCCCUUGGGUUGUAAACUCUUGUCAUAAGGGAACAAGAAAGUGAUAGUACCUUAAGAGGAAGAGACGGCUAACUCUGUGCCAGCAGCCGCGGUAAUACAGAGGUCUCAAGCGUUGUUCGGAUUCAUUGGGCGUAAAGGGUGCGCAGGCUGUGUGGUAAGUCAGAUGUGAAAUUUAGAGGCUUAACCUCUAAACUGCAUUUGAUACUGCCAUGCUAGAGGACUGUAGAGGAGAUUGGAAUUCACGGUGUAGCAGUGAAAUGCGUAGAUAUCGUGAGGAAGACCGGUGGCGAAGGCGAAUCUCUGGGCAGUUCCUGACGCUCAUGCACGAAGGCUAGGGGAGCAAACGGGAUUAGAUACCCGCGUAGUCC
rnacentral:rRNA from 1 species